CCCAUGGAUACAUGAAGGACUCAAAGUGGAAAAGGAAAACGGAAGUGCAAAGAUAAGGUUAAAGAACUGUGGUGGCGUGCCGAAGUAAAUAACGAGCGACCGGCCAGUGAAAAUAGUUAGAAACACCUCCGAACAAAUAGCGACUUAAUAUCUCGUUGUUGCUAGGUUUUCUGAGUUAAAGAUGAUUGGAUCCUAGGACGAGGUGCUCCUCCCUAUACAUUGCUCGGUAGGUUUAACGUACCACUAAGUGUUAUCAAUCGUGCCCAAAGUCACUUCGCUGACGGUCGAGGUCUAAUUAUGUGUAUAUGGAUAUUUGAUGUGAAACAUUAAGGUUCAUUUGUUAUUCUAUAUAUGUAUAUAAUGGUUGAUGAUGCCAUUAUGAAUGCAUGACUGGGUUUUA